GACGAACGCUGGCGGCGUGCUUAACACAUGCAAGUCGAACGAAGUGGCGAACGGGUGAGUAAAGCGUAAUAAACCUGCCCUUCAGAGGGGGUAAACAGUUGGAAACGACUGCUAAUACCGCAUACUGAAGGAGGGGAUUGCGGCUGAAUAGCUAGUUGGAGGGGUAACGGCCCACCAAGGAGAUGAUCAGUAGCCUGGCUGAGGGGAUGAACGGCCAGAUUGGGACUGGGGCACGGCCCAGACUCCUACGGGAUGCAGCAGUGGGGAAUCUUCCGCAAUUGACGAAAGUCUGACGAAGCAACGCCGCGUGAGUGAUGACGGCCUUCGGGUUGUAAAGCUCUGUUAAUCGGGACGCGGUACCGGAAUAGAAAGCCACGGCUAACUACGUGCCAGCAGCCGCGGUAAUAC
rnacentral:rRNA from 1 species